rnacentral:rRNA from 1 species
UUGUGUGUCAGUGGAACGGUCUGGAAAGGCCGGCGAUACAGGGGUGACAGCCCCCCGUACACGAAGGACACAGGCUGUGAGCUCGAUGAGUAGGGGCGGGACACGUGAUAUCCUGUCUGAAGAUGGGGGGGACCAUCCUCCAAGGCUAAAGUACUCCUGACUGGCCGAUAGUGAACCAGUACCGUGAGGGAAAGGCGAAAA